rnacentral:tRNA from 1 species
UCCUGGUAGCUCAGAUGGUAAAGAAUCUGCCUGCAAUGCAGGAGACCUAGGUUUAAUCCCUGGAUCAGAAA